GCAGUUAGCUCAGUUGUUUAGAGUGUGGUGCUGAUAACACCAUGGCAGCUGGUUCUAACCCAAACAGGCCAACUGCA